UCAGGUAAAGCAAGUAGAAAAAAUGUGAGGAGCAAUUUGAAGCUGAUGGCGGCAGGCUUUAAAAUUAUGGCCAUGAAGAUAUUUAAUUUUCCACCAUCUUUUGGCUUCUAGAAAAGAAUCUGCUCAGGUGCACUCAUUUUCAUUAUCUCCAGUGUGGCGGCUCAUAACUGCACGCCUAAGAACCUGGAAAUCCCUGAAAGAGAUGGGUUCCGAUCUGGGAUUUUCUUUCUCUUUUGUGGCGCUGGUAAUUGGACCUGGAGCUUUCUGAACGCCGGGCAACCAUUCUGUCGGUGAACUAUGACCUCAGCCCAUUAGGGGAUUUUUUUUUGGACUUUGAGAAAACAGUUGAGUUAGCAGACAGCCCAUUUUAAAGAUGGCUGCCUGUUAAACGGGGUUUCUUUCCUCGCAAAAAGUCCUGAAGAGGAUGUCAGAUGCCCUGAACUGGAGUUGUAGAUGUUUUUCGCCAUAUGUGGGAGCCAGUAAUGACUGAACCUCGGUCCUCAGCAAUAGCAGCAAGUAUUUUUAAUCCAC